CGGACGGGUGAGUAACACGUGGGCAACCUGCCUAUAAGACUGGGAUAACUUCGGGAAACCGGAGCUAAUACCGGAUACGUUCUUUUCUCGCAUGAGAGAAGAUGGAAAGACGGUUUACGCUGUCACUUAUAGAUGGGCCCGCGGCGCAUUAGCUAGUUGGUGAGGUAAUGGCUCACCAAGGCGACGAUGCGUAGCCGACCUGAGAGGGUGAUCGGCCACACUGGGACUGAGACACGGCCCAGACUCCUACGGGAGGCAGCAGUAGGGAAUCUUCCGCAAUGGACGAAAGUCUGACGGAGCAACGCCGCGUGAACGAAGAAGGCCUUCGGGUCGUAAAGUUCUGUUGUUAGGGAAGAACAAGUACCAGAGUAACUGCUGGUACCUUGACGGUACCUAACCAGAAAGCCACGGCUAACUACGUG
rnacentral:rRNA from 2 species